GUAUUCUUGCCUGGGAAAUCCCAUGAACAGAGGAGCCUGCACAUGUGUCGUCUUGAACAAUUCAUUUCCGAGUGUUAGACAAGAGCCCGGUGUUGGGCCCUGGAAGGGGUCCCCCUUCCUGCAACAAAUGGCGAUUCUGGCGGGGACUCUUCUUUGCUGCGACUGACAUCCUGACCACUCAGGGUACUCAGGGGCCAGCUUGCCUGCCAAUGGACCAGACCCAGUGGCUGCAACUGGGACCCUUUUGUCCCUGGUCUCCUCCUGACAUGGACAACUGGCCAGAGUGCCCCGACUGGGAACCGUGAUUUCAAUCAACAUAAUCCAUGGGCUGAUUGAUCCCUGCUGGUAAAUUUUAUUUUUAUAAAGAUAAUUCUCCAAGACUCAGCUCAGUCUGGCUACCCCUGAGAAGCUUUUUCUGACACCCGCUCCUCACAAACCUCAGCUCAGAGCUUUUCCUCUCUGCUCCCAGAGGAUGAGCCUGCAGUCUUCAAUAUGUUGUAGAGAUAUCUAGUCCUGGAGUCUUCUCAUCAGAGUUUAAAAAUAUUAGGUUGUUUAAAACUCUGGAGAGAUCAGAAGAGAAUGCUGAUGUCUUGAGCUGCUCACCACACAGACCCUUUGAGGUUUGGUUUUACCCCAAUUGAGACUGAGAAACUUGUGGACAAGACUGAACUGCCACCAUCAUUCCUCACCACCCUUAAAUAAAGACCUAAACUGAAGAGAUGAUAUUGGUGCCUGAGGUUUCCUCAGGCUUGAUUUCUGGGGAGAAGUGAACCAGAACACUUGCUGGUUUUCCAGCCUUUGUGUAUUAUAUCCUGCUCUGCAGCGAGCAUCCGUCCUAUCGAGUGACUGAGGCACAGCACACAGCCUUGACCUUCUCCAACCAGACUUAGCUCAGGAUUCAGGCUGGUUAUUGCUUUUUCUGCAAUCUGCUGUUUAGGUCAUAUUUACCAUAAGAGUCAACUUUACUGGAAAUGAUGGAGCAGGACCAAGUGCAUGACUUGUUGGAUCUUAGUUCCCUGACCAGGGGCUGGACCCACACCCUUGGCAGUGAAAGUAUAGAGUCCUAACUAUUGGACUGCCAGAAGAUUCCCAUGAAUGACACACAGUGCUAACACAGAGGAAAGAAAAAUGGAAAGACAGUGAGAAGCUUGGUCCAAAUGGAAUUGAGCCCCUGUAUGCAGUCUCACAGAGUCGGACACGACUGAAGCGACUUAGCAGCAGCAGCAGCAUGCAGUUAUGACUGAUUUAUACUGAGACUAUUCAGUUAUGUGACCUAAUAAAUCUGUCACCUACCCCCGCCCCCCCACCCCCACUGCCAUUCCCCCGGUCAUUUUUUUCACAGAAGCUAAUUUGAAUUGUGAAAGAUUCCAGCUAGGUGUCAGUCUCUAGCCAUGAAGUGUUACAAGUGAUAGACUUUAUUAUUUAUUUAUUUUUAUGUUUUGAGUUUUUAGCUGUCAGGCAUGUGGGAUCUUAGUUUCCUCACCAGGGAUUGAACCUGUACCACUUACUUUGAAAAGCUAAGUCUUAAACACUGGACUGCCAGGGAAGUGCCCAAGUGAUAGACUUUAAAAUUAGUACCAUCUAAGGUAGAAUGGAAAGUCAGGCGGGAUCUGACUACCCCUAGCUGAGAAGUUAGCUGUCUUUGUUAUGCUCUAACAAGGCAUCUAGUUAAAUUGUUGCCCAUUCUUUCUUGGAACACAGAGCGUGUGCCAUUUGAGACUGGAAUCAUUAAAGUCCUUGUAGAACGUCUUAGCCUGUGGAAUGUGUUGGCUGCUUCUUAAAGUGCUCAGUGAGUUUUUUAUGAGAAAGAGACAAGCUUCUUUCAAAGUUGGUCCAUCUAGAAGUAGAAAAAGAGGAAAAAAAUGUCGAUAAAAAAGGUCUUUUCUGCCUUUCAUAACUGAGAGCCAGGUGAAGUUAUACCUUGUAAGAGUGGAAGAGGUGAGUUCUCUGCCUUAUGAUGAAGUUUGUCCCAGCAAAAGCAGGAAGACUAGAAACAGAACAGAACAGAAGACUAAAACCAGGAAGCAGCCUGAGCUUGACUGCAGCUCAUCCUCAUGGUCAUCAAAAGACAUCAUGGUGGAGUGAAAAUAUGAGCCACAGGAUGGGAGAAGAUACUACAGCACAUGUAACUGACAAAGAGCCCAUAUCUGGAACUCCUAUAAGCAAAUAAGAGACAAACCAAUAGAAAAGUGGGCAGGACUGAUCAACAGGCCUUCACAAAAGGGACUAUCCAAAUAAAUAUGAGAAAAUGCUCAACCUCAUCUGUCAUGAGAGAAAUGCAAUGAAAACAAAUAGGAGAUCCCACUAUAGGUUCUGCCGGAACAGCUACAAUAAAGAAGACAGAUCAUACCCAUGUUGUUGAGGAACUGUUGGAGCCCACAGACACUUCUGGUAGGAAUGUAAAUAGGUAGUUUGGAAAAACUUGGUAUUAUCCAUUAGAAUUGAAUGUGUGCGUAUCCUAUUACCAAACAGUUCCACUCCUAGAUAUAUGAGUGCAUAUAUACCAAAAGGUGCAACAAUAUUCUUAGCAGCAUUGUUUGUAACAGUCCCAAAUUGGAAAACUUUCAACGCCUAUCAACAGCGAAUGGGUAAAUAAUUGCAAUGAACUCUAUAGUCCAAUGAACGCGAUCACACUAUUGCCAGCAUCACCAGGAGGACUAAAUCUGGUAGAUAUAAUUUUGAGUGAAGAAGCUUGACGUAACACAUCCUGUAGGGUUCCAUUUAUGUAAGCUUUGAAAUAAGCAAAAACAACCUACGGCGUUAGAAAUGAGGCGAAUGGAGACCCUGGGAAAAUGGGAGGAGGUCUGAUUGGGAUGGCACACAAGGGGCUUCUGAGAGCCCUGAUGUCCUAUUUCUUGACCUGGCACUGGUUACACUGGUGUGCUCACUUUGUGAUCAUUCAUGUGUGAUUUCAGCAUUUCUCUGUCAAUAACAUUAAAAAAAAUCUUCUAAUCAUAGGCUAUGGAAGAAGA